GUGCUUGCUUUGGCAGCAUAUAUCCUGUAUUAGAACAAUACAGAGAAGAUUAGCAUGGCCCCUGCACAAGGAUGACACGCAAAUUCGUGAAGCAUUCCACAUUUAU